rnacentral:rRNA from 1 species
UGAGGGAUAUUGGACAAUGGAGGAAACUCUGAUCCAGCCAUGCCGCGUGAGUGAAGAAGGCCUUCGGGUUGUAAAGCUCUUUCAGUAGUGAAGAUAAUGACGGUAACUACAGAAGAAGCCCCGGCUAACUUCGUGCCAGCAGCCGCGGUAAUACGAAGGGGGCGAGCGUUGUUCGGAAUCACUGGGCUUAAAGCGUGCGUAGGCGGAUAGGAAAGUCAGAAGUGAAAUCCCGGGGCUCAACCCCGGAACUGCUUUUGAAACUUCCUGUCUAGAAUCCGACAGAGGUUAACGGAAUUCCGAGUGUAGAGGUGAAAUUCGCAGAUAUUCGGAGGAACACCAGUGGCGAAGGCGGUUAACUGGGUCGGUAUUGACGCUGAGGUACGAAAGCGUGGGGAGCGAACA